CAGUGUGGGCAGAGGUGUGGGAAGAGUGUUGUGAGGAGUGUAGGCAGUGAGGGAAGUUGGGUGUGUGAUGUGGCUGUUGCAGGAAACAUCUGCGAGCAGCGUGAGGGUGGAGGUGAAUCAUUCUGCAGACUGCGGCCUGUUUUGCAUUGAUAAUUUAAGAGUUUGCAAAAAUUGUGUUUGCCAAAGCAGAGGAGUAGCAGCUGUAGCCUUAGCUCAAGCGUUGGGAAAUCUCACAACAUGGGUGCAGGCCCGGCCCAGUCACAACACCAUGUGACUUCAGCCGCCGAGGCCUGGAGCUGGUUAGAGUACCGUCUCCCUGGCAACGGGCCCUGUCCGGCCUAGGCUCAACGCUUCACCACGGCAACCUCUGUGUAUAAUAUGUGGGGCUGAGGAUCAAGAAGGGAACUCAUUCUGCCGGCCACUGGAAACCCUGACUAGAGACUGGAGGAAAAUCUUCCAUGGGGGGGCACUGCUGCUCCAGGUUUGUGACUCUGAUGGUGGAUUGAUGGAGCAGGGGUAGUGGAGACGACAGGCCUUGCUUCUGGCAGUGGAAAGCUUUUUGCGACGUGCUAUCUGGUCAGCGGAAAGCCAAUACGCGAUUAUAACCAAGCCGUCCGCAGUGGACAGAUACAGGAUAUAGAGAAUAAGGGAUAAAAGUUAAGAUCACUGGUCGCAAAGGUGGAUGCAUUCGACUUCUCGCUGAGAAUUUGCAGGAGGAAGGAACUGCAGAUGCUGGUUUACACCGAAGAUAGACACGAAACGCUGGAGUAGCUCAGCGGGACAGGCAGCAUUUCUGGAGAGAAGGAGUGGGUGACGUUUCGGUUCAAGACCCUUCUUCAGACCAACAUCCAUAGUAAGGACGAGAGAGUGGGGGCUGGAAAAUCCGAUGUUCAGCAUGGCCAUGGGGCUGUUCGGGGCGCUGUUUCCUGUGGAUCCAGACAGUCCAUGGUCGUUCCUCAAGCCGGGCGAGAUAUUUGAAGGCUGAGGGGAGUGCGCGUGUCCCAGAGACUGCAUGGCUAACUUGGUGCCAAAGUUGGUGGAGAGGAACUGCUUCAACUGCUGCUUCUGUGACUGCUGGAUGUGGUACUUGGUCGGAUUCUCCAGGAACUCGUGCCUCUGCCAUCCCACUCCAACACCGACCUAUUACGCAGCAAGCUGACAUCUGAUCCAAUGCUUUAUAUAAAGGAGCCAAACGUGGAAAGUGCCGGCUUGUUCUCAAUAAAAUGGACGGUGCUUCACGCAGGGAUUCAGUGACUAUGUUUUACACAUCAAACCGGAACAGUGAAGCAAAUGUCCCCCAGCCAGAAGUCAGUGCCCCAGUUAUCGGUCACCUCAGCUCCCUUCCCAUCUCUCCAUCCCCCGCUCUGAUUCCUAGUUGGACACAGCUUGCAGCGACAGGGCAGAGUCCUUUGCCUCUAACUCCCUCCGUAUACGCCGACAAUACAGAGGGACCAUCACUUUUCAUCUUGCCUGGGGAAAGGGAGCCAGUCCUGAGACAAUGGGGAACAGGGGGCUGAUUAUGAAAGUGAGGAGGAUAGAUUUUGAGCCCCUGGUUCAUACCUGCACUGGGAGGCCUCCAUGGGACAGUGAGAAGAAGCUCCAUGCUAUAUUUACCUCAGGCUGCACAUGGGAAUGUCUGAUUCUUCAGGGUCGGGGAAGUUUGAUUCAUCUCAGUUUCUAACAUAUUUCACAAAGGACGUUCUUUUAGAAAGGAGAUGGGGAGAAAUUUCUUUAGUCAGGGGGUGGUGAAUCUGUGGAAUUCUUUGCCACAGAAGGCUGUGGAGGCCAAGUUAGUGGAUAUUUUUGUCAGAGAGAGAUAGGUUUUUGAUUAGUACAGUUGUCAGAGGUUAUGGGGAGAAGGCAGGCGUAUGGGGUUAGGAGGGAGAGAUUGAUCAGCCAUGAUUAAAUGGCGGAGUAGACUUCAUAGGCCGAAUGGCCUAAUUCUACUCCUAUCACCUAUAACCUUAUGACCUUAUGACCACCUUCUGCCUGUAACAAUACAAAGUGAUUAUUCCAUCGUUAGAAACUUGGUUGUAGUGAAAGUUAUGAUAUUGAAACUAUUUCAUGUAUUGAGUCGUGCAUCUGGUCCACACGGGAAACUCAUGGGAAAUGGAUGGAAUCACUGGGAAAAGGGUUGGAAAAGGACGGGAAAAUCCCAGGAUUGCCCUUCGAACCCGCACCCAACCCUCCCUGGUCCCAACCUGCCUUCCUCUCCCAUCCACCAACAUAACUCUACGAUCGCUCCAGACCUCUGUUCCCACUCCCUCUCCCACAGCCUUCUGCCCAUCCACCUGCCGUCCCACUCACAACGGAGCUGCCAUGAGCUCUCCCUGUUCCUGAUCCCCUUUCCCCUGCUUCUCUUUGGUGGUGAGAUCCGAGCUUCCCCUUUAAAAAUGCAGUUGGACCCAAAUUACAUUGUCAUGUCCUUCAAAGAUCCGGUCACAAAUUAAAAUGUAAUUAAUCUUCUAUUAAGGAUAGGAUAGGCUGAGGGGGUGGGAGACCUUAUAACAGGUACCUUAUCACAAGGAGCACAGAUAAAAUGAAUAGCCAUAGUGUUUUCCCCAGAAGAGGCAGUCUAAAGCAAGAGGCUCCAGGCUUAAGGUGAGAGGGGGCAGAUUUGAAAUGGUCCUGAAUCACACAAAGGGUGGUGCUUAUCUUGAGCAAGCUGCUAGAGGAAGUGAUGGAGGCAGAUACAAAUAUAUGACAUUUAAUAGAUAUUUAGAUAGGAACGUAAAUAGGAAAGGUUCAGUUCAGCUCAGUUCAGUUUAGUUUAUUGUCACGUGCACCAAGGUACGGUGAAAAGCUUUUGUUGCGUGCUAAACAGUCCGCAGAAAGACAAUCCAUGAUUACAAUCGAGCAAUUUACAGUGUAUAGAUAUCCAAGAAAAUUAUUAUUAAGAUUAAGAAUUAUUAUCUCAAUGGGGUUAGGUUAGGUAAAGGGAAGGUACAGCGAGACCUGGGUGUCCUUGUACACCGGCCACUGAAAGUUGGCGUGCAGGUACAGCAGGCCGUGAAGAAAGCUAACGGAAUGUUGGCCUUCAUAACAAGACGAUUUCAGUAGAGGAGUAAAGAGGUUCUUCUGCAGUUGUAUAGUGCCCUGGUGAGACCACAUCUGGAGUAUUGUGUACAGUUUUGGUCUCUCAAUUUGAGGAAGGACAUCCUUGUGAUUGAGGCAGUGCAGCGUAGGUUCCCGAGAUUGAUCCCUGGGAUGACGGGACUGUCAUAUGAGGAAAGAUUGAAAAGACUAGGCUUGUAUUCACUGGAGUUUAGAAGGAUGAGAGGAUAUAUAACAUUAUAAAAGGACUGGACAAGCCUAGAUGCAGGAAAAAUUUUCCCAAUGUGGGGAGAGUCCAGAACCAGAGGCCACAGUCUUAGAAUAAAGGGGAGGCCAUUUAAGACUGAGGUGAGAAAAACCUUUUUCACCCAGAGAGUUGUGAAUUUAUGGAAUUACCUGCCACUGAGGGCAGUGGGGGCCAAGUGACUGGAUGGAUUUAAGAGAGAGUUAGAUAGAGGUCCAGGGGCUAGUGGAGUCAAGAGAUAUGGGGAGAAGGCAGGCACGGGUUAUUGACAGGGGACGAUCAGCCAUGAUCACAAUGAAUGGCGGUGCUGGCUUGAAGGGCUGAAUGGCCUCCUCCUGCACCUAUUUUCCUAUGUUUCUAAAAUUAUAGUUAAAGUAAGAAAUGUUGCUGUAGGAGUAGAGAUUUAAGGGUGUGGAGCGAUUGUAAUAUGUGAUUGUAGAUCUACUUCUGUGGCUAGCACGUAAAUAGUCACCUGGUGUGGGCGCCAUCUUGGAAGCAAAAGGGCGCCAUCUUGUGAGGGAUGUGGACCAGUUGCAGGUAAGUGGGACUAGCCCAGGGAAGCAAUUUUGUCGGUCUGGACAACAUGGGCCAAUGGGUCUGUUUCCAUGCUGCGUAGCUCUCUGACUUAAUGUCCAGGUGUCGACCCAGCCGCUGGGGGUUUGGACACUGCCACCCCAUUAGUCCAUUGGCCACAGUCAACCCUGCCCUGUGAGGAUGGGGAUGAAUGCCUGAGGUAAAAGAAGAAUUAA